AGAGUUUGAUCAUGGCUCAGGAUGAACGCUAGCUACAGGCUUAACACAUGCAAGUCGAGGGGAAACGACAUCGAAAGCUUGCUUUUGAUGGGCGUCGACCGGCGCACGGGUGAGUAACGCGUAUCCAACCUGCCCAUCACUUGGGGAUAACCUUGCGAAAGUAAGACUAAUACCCAAUGACGUCUCUAGAAGACAUCUGAAAGAGAUUAAAGAUUUAUCGGUGAUGGAUGGGGAUGCGUCUGAUUAGCGUUGUUGGCGGGGUAACGGCCACCAAGGCGACGAUCAGUAGGGGUUCUGAGAGGAAGGUCCCCCANAUUGGAACUGACGACACGGUCCAAACUCCUACGGGAGGCA
rnacentral:rRNA from 1 species